rnacentral:rRNA from 1 species
AUUGAACGCUGGCGGCAGGCUCAACACAUGCAAGUCGAGCGCGCGGCCGACGGGUGAGUACUUUCUGGGAAACUGCCUGAUGGAGGGGGAUAACUACUGGAAACGGUAGCUAAUACCGCAUACCAUCAGAUUACCCCCUAUGGGAUUAGCUAGUAGGUGGGGUAAUGGCUCACCUAGCCGACGAUCCCUAGCUGGUCUGAAAGGAGGACCAGCCACACUGGAGCUGAGACACGGUCCAUACUCCUACGGGAGGCAGAAGUGGGGAAUAUUGCACAAUGGGCGCAAGCAUGAUGCAGCCAUGCCGCGGGUGUGAAGAAGGCCUUCGGGUUGUAAAGCACUUUCAGCGAGGAGGCGUUACUCGCAGAAGAAGCACCGGCUAACUCCGUGCCAGCAGCCGCGGUAAUAC